CAUGCAAGUCGAACGGUAGAGGGGCAACCCUUGAGAGUGGCGAACGGGUGAGUAAUAUAUCGGAACGUGCCCAGUCGUGGGGGAUAACGUAGAGAAAUUUACGCUAAUACCGCAUACGAUCUAAGGAUGAAAGCGGGGGACCGUAAGGCCUCGCGCGAUUGGAGCGGCUGAUAUCAGAUUAGGUUGUUGGUGAGGUAAAAGCUCACCAAGCCGACGAUCUGUAGCUGGUUUGAGAGAACGACCAGCCACACUGGGACUGAGACACGGCCCAGACUCCUACGGGAGGCAGCAGUGGGGAAUUUUGGACAAUGGGCGAAAGCCUGAUCCAGCAAUGCCGCGUGCAGGAAGAAGGCCUUCGGGUUGUAAACUGCUUUUGUACGGAACGAAACGGUCCGCUUUAAUACAGUGGGCUAAUGACGGUACCGUAAGAAUAAGCACCGGCUAACUACGUGCCAGCAGCCGCGGUAAUACGUUGGGUGCGAGCGUUAAUCGGAAUUACUGGGCGUAAAGCGUGCGCAGGCGGUUAUGUAAGACAGUUGUGAAAUCCCCGGGCUCAACCUGGGAAUUGCAUCUGUGACUGCAUAGCUAGAGUACGGUAGAGGGGGAUGGAAUUCCGCGUGUAGCAGUGAAAUGCGUAGAUAUGCGGAGGAACACCGAUGGCGAAGGCAAUCCCCUGGACCUGUACUGACGCUCAUGCACGAAAGCGUGGGGAGC
rnacentral:rRNA from 1 species